rnacentral:lncRNA from 1 species
AUUGAUCGUCUGCCUUGUCCGGGACUCCUGCGUCGACAUAGUCCCAUUUAAACAACUACACCAGGAGGUUAUUACAGACAUUCUCAACUGAAUGAAAAUGUACAUGUUAUGCAAGCACUGAAGACUGCAAAUAAAUGUUUUUCAAAACUGCCUGUAAUUAUGCAAAGUAAAUUUUAUGCAAGAAGUGGCGCCACCUAAAUGACAAAAUAACAUAUGCACGUUAGAAAAGAGUCUUUUCAAAGGAUCGCCACCCUCCUGGAAUAGCAAGUCUUCAAUUACAAGUUAAUCUAUCUUAGUAAAAUUAAUUUGGGAGUUGAUUGGGAGUGGUUCUCUGUUUUUUCCGUAGUUAUUGUAUUCUUUCUACUCUUUCAAUUCUACAGAACUACCUCCUGUAUGAACACCAUGUGGCAACAUGACUAGUUCUGCUGCAACAUUCCCCAUGGCAAGAACCAGGAGUAGAACCCACUGGUCUUGUGGCAUUGGGCUGCAGUGCUUCGCUAAGGACCCAGAGGAAACAGGGCUGCUCCAGCUAUGCCAGUUAGAAUCUGAUGUCUGCUCCUGUACCACCAUGCAACUUCUUCACGCAGCCUCUCCUUGGAGCUGGACUGUGGUUGAGUUGCUUGAAAAAGAAGAGAGGAUACAAGUUUGUAAAGGUUGCAAACCUGAAGCUCCCUUACCUAGUUGGCGCAAGGAACCAGAUACUAACUGGCUACAAUUUGAAAGCUUCCAGAAAGUCCAUGAAAAGGGUAUCUGAUAUGUUGGUGCUGCUGCAGUAAUAGCUAUGUCAAAACCAGAAGGUGUUGCAACUUCCUAAGCAGUAAUAAUAGAUGGGUUGAUACCACCUACUUCCUUAGUUUGUCUUUUCCUGCUUUGUCAUAAGGGUGUCUGUCUGGUAGGACUAGAAAAAGGAAGACAGUGAAGUUUUAAAGGAUUUGCAAUUGUAAUGAGCACUAAUUCUUGUCAGAAGCAGACUACUAAGUUGCAGGGUGAAUGACAACCUGUGGGUCCAAGCUCCACUAUAGAGAGGUGGGAAUAGUGAGUCUGAAAGUUA